CAAAACGGCUUUUGUCAUGAGUGCGACACAUAAGUAGCUUGCUUCCUCUGUGGACAGUACUGACAUCAAGAGAUUUCAGAAGCACAAUUUUUUGGUAACUGGGCAGCUGGUGAUCAUGGGUCCCAGCACCCUA
rnacentral:snRNA from 1 species